rnacentral:lncRNA from 1 species
AAGUUCCGAAAUAAUUGAUUUUUGGAAGUUUAAAAUAUUUUAAAUUACAAAAACGUUUUUUUCAUUUUUGAAAGUCAUUUAACAUGUGUGGCUGAAGUUUGGACCAGAUUUGUGUGCGUAGAGAAUUUUGAUUAUAUAUAUUAUUAUUAUAUUAAAUUUUCUGCUUUGGUGUUCUAAGCAUUUUCCUAUAAAUAGGGUGCUUAGGUUAGAAUUGAAAAUCACACCAGAAACUGAAGUUUUCUCUCUCUAUAUUAUCGAGCGUAUUCUUGUGAGUAUUUUGAGUAUACUUUGAGUAUUGCUAUACGGUGCAAGUUCAAGUCAUAGCCUAUAUCCG